UACGAAGGGGGCUAGCGUUGUUCGGAAUCACUGGGCGUAAAGGGCGCGUAGGCGGCUUUAUAAGUCGGGGGUGAAAGCCUGUGGCUCAACCACAGAAUUGCCUUCGAUACUGUAGAGCUUGAGACCGGAAGAGGUAAGUGGAACUGCGAGUGUAGAGGUGAAAUUCGUAGAUAUUCGCAAGAACACCAGUGGCGAAGGCGGCUUACUGGUCCGGUUCUGACGCUGAGGCGGCGAAAAGCGUGGGGGAG
rnacentral:rRNA from 1 species